AUUGUUAACGGCUGCGGUUGGAAGUGGCUGUGGGGAUUGCUGCGGCUGGCGCGGCGCCGCUCUAGCCAGUAAAUGACCUGCGACAUAACUAUUUGCAAAACAAAUGGGGAAGACCAAGAUAAGUUAUAUCACAGGAAAGCAAUUGAAAAUGCAAAAAUGAAUCAUCUGAAUGAAGGACUAAUAACACUGAAUUCAGCUUUUGUGAAUCUUAUCUGCAGAUAUGUACAGACCACAUCCUAAGAUUGACUUCUGCCUCAACAGAAAUACAUGAGCCGGUGCCUUACUGGAAAUGAUUUGCGCGUUUUAAGAACUGGUAAAUCAGGGAUUUCUUCUUGGUUUGGAUCCACUGCUGGUUUUCUUCCGCCAUCUGUGACAGCUUCUUGAUCUGUCCUAAGGAAUCCUGCUUUUUUUUUUUUUCUUUGAGACACGGUCUUGCUCUGUCACCCAUGCUGGAGUGCAGUGGUGCAAUCACAGAUCACGGCAGUGUCUAAUUCCUGGGCUCAAGUAAACCUCCUGUAUCAGCCUCCUGAGUAG
rnacentral:sRNA from 1 species